rnacentral:snRNA from 1 species
GUGCUCGCUUCGGCACCACAUAUACUAAAAUUGGAACGAUACAGAGAAGAUUAGCAUGGCCCCUGCACAAAUUUGUAAAAACGUGGAUUGCAUUGCAUAUAA